UUCAUCAUCACUCAGCCGUCAAACACACCCUACUACCUAGCCGUCGAACAAACCCUACCUAGCCCUUCAUCAUCACCCUUCAUUGCCGAUGAGAACCCUCAUACCCAUCUGUGCUCUCUCCCACCCCUUCAUCUUCAUCACUACUAUGAGAACCCUCGCACCCAGCCCUCUCUCCGAGCCCUUCAUCUUCAUCACUGAUGAGAACCUACACCACUGUUGAGAACCCCUGCACACAUCCUUCUCUCUGAGCCCUCUCUUGCAGCCCUCUGUCUCACCCUCUCUGUCACAACCCUCGCACCCUCAACGCAAGCCUCCUCCUUGGAUUUGCAACCUUGCACUCUCUCGCAACCCUCCAUCGGCACUGUUCCGUCGGCGCACCCUGUAUAGGCAUGCUCUCCCUCAAUCGGUGCUAAACCGUCACUGCCUAUCCCUCAAUCGGCGCUCAACCCUAACCAUGAACACUACAAGUUCUCUCUAUUACUUGAACCAUGUAGGUAUUGGAUAAAUGAAGAGAAGGCUGAAUGGAUUAUAUACGUCACAGAUGUUGGACAACAGCAACACUUAUGGUAUUCAAGAUUGCUGAACAUUUAUGUGAUUUCUUCAAGAGGAAGAUAAGGUAAGGCUGAUGCAGGAAACUGGUCUGUAAUUAAAGCAGAUUAAUAAUUGAUUUAUCAAUUAGAGGAAGAGAAAUUGGAACAAGAAUCCUUCUUCUUCUCCUGUCUUAAAGAGCAAGUGUAAAAGGUAUUUUCUUAAUUAACGACCCUGUUGAUGAUGUCAAUGAUAUUUUUGAGAUACAUAAACAUAAUGAAUUAAUAUUUGGCAUUUGCUUUGAGCUAGUUGUUUAAGAAGUUACAAUGACUUUUUGUUUGCUGUUUUUUUAUGGGGGGUGUCAUAUUUACUUACCACUUCAGUUUGGGGUGAAUUUGAUGACAAUGACUAACAUCAUCAAUAAUUGUUGGUUUUGAAGGCUCCUUAACUUUAGUUAGUGGUGAUCCUGGUAUUGGGAAGAGUACUCUAUUGUUACAAGUAUGAAUUAUUUAUUUGGUCGAUAAACUGAAUCUAAAUAUCGGAUUAUCACCUUUUUUAUUUAUGUAGUGGUCAAGUACCACUAAUGCUUUCUUUUAUUGUGACAAUUUGAUUGAAAGAUGACAACAAUGAUAGUAAAGGGUUGCAGUGAAGGCAAAGCAUCUCGAGUUUUAUAUGUAUCUAGUGAAGAGGUUAGCUUUUAUUAGGUUUCUUUCUUGCAUCCUAGUAUUGUAGUUUGGGAUAAUAUUUGAUUUCCCUUAUGUGGGCACUGAAGUUUAACAUUUGAUUUGUGAUUGUGCUUUGGGUUUAGAGUUAGUUGACUUUCUCUAAUUUAGUUGCAUUUAUUUUGUUUUGUGUCAUGUGACAAAGUCUUGAGUAAAUUGGUAACAGAGCAGAAUGUCUUGGAAUUAAAUCAGAUAUUAUAUUCAAAUACUGAUAUUGAGGUAGAAAUCUAGAUUUCUUCUGAUUAGUUUUGCUGCUAGCAUUCUUCUUACUAUAUUAUUUUCUGUUUUAUACAUGGAUUUUUAUUGAAGUUAUUGUCUGGGUCCUAUUAACCAAUUAUUUCAAGUAAUAGCCUUAACUUGCGAGAAGUGUAUAGUGAAGUCUAGAUACUUGUAUGUUUUUUAUCUUAAUUUAUUUCAUGUUUUCAAGACAUAUUGAAGAAAGCUUAGCUUCUUUCCCCUCAUGCUAUGGUUAUUGAUUCAAUACAAACUCUUGAUCUUAUUAAUAUUGUUAAUAAUUUUUCUUUAACUCUAUUAAUACUUUUAUUUUUCUAUCAUUUGCCAAUGUCUUUAAAUUUAACAUUUUGUUUUGAUUUAUGUAUUCUCUAGUGGUCAAAUAAAAAGGCUUAUAAUAAGACACUAUUGAAACUUACUGGGUUGUUCCAGAAGAAUUUUGAGACAUUCACCAAUCAUAAGAUUGGCAAGGACAACAAACUCACUGAAGAGAUUUUGGCAGCUGAACCAGUGUUUUGAAAAUAGAGAAUGCAUAUUGUGUUAAAGUGGGGGAUGGCUGGGAUUAUUAUUAUUAUUAUUAUUAUUAUUAUUAUUAUUAUUAUUAUUAUUAUUAUUAUAUAUAUGGUU